rnacentral:rRNA from 1 species
CCUACGGGAGGCAGCAGUGAGGAAUAUUGGUCAAUGGACGAGAGUCUGAACCAGCCAAGUCGCGUGAAGGAUGACUGCCCUAUGGGUUGUAAACCUCUUUUAUCUGGGAACAAAGUCCAGUAUGUAUCCUCUUUUGUAUGUACCAUAUGAAUAAGGAUCGGCUAACUCCGUGCCAGCAGCCGCGGUAAUCCGGAGGGUCCGAGCGUUAACCGGAUUUAUUGGGUUUAAAGGGAGCGUAGGCGGUCUCUUAAGUCAGGUGGGAAAGUUUGCGGGUCAACCGUAACAUAGCAGUUGAAACUGGGGGUCUAGAGUGCGGCAGAGGUAGGCGGAAUGCGUGGUGUAGCGGUGAAAUGCAUAGAUAUCACGCAGAACUCCGAUUGCGAAGGCAGCAUACCGG